AGGUAGUAGUUUGUACAUUU
rnacentral:miRNA from 1 species